rnacentral:rRNA from 1 species
UACGUAGGUGGCAAGCGUUGUCCGGAUUUACUGGGCGUAAAGAGCGCGCAGGCGGUCGUUCAAGUCGCGUGUGAAAGCCCCCGGCUCAACUGGGGAGGGUCACGCGAUACUGAUCGACUGGAAGGCAGGAGAGGGUAGUGGAAUUCCCGGUGUAGUGGUGAAAUGCGUAGAUAUCGGGAGGAACACCGGUGGCGAAGGCGGCCCCCUGGACCGGUACUGACGCUGAGGCGCGAAAGCGUGGGUAGCAAACGGG